UGGGGAAUAUUGGACAAUGGGGGAAACCCUGAUCCAGCAAUGCCGCGUGAGUGAUGAAGGCCUUCGGGUUGUAAAGCUCUUUUGUCAGGGACGAUGAUGACGGUACCUGACGAAUAAGCUCCGGCUAACUUCGUGCCAGCAGCCGCGGUAAUACGAGGGGAGCUAGCGUUGUUCGGAAUUACUGGGCGUAAAGGGCGUGUAGGCGGUACCAUAAGUCAGAUGUGAAAGCCCUAGGCUUAACCUAGGAAUUGCAUUUGAUACUGUGGAACUAGAGAUCGAGAGAGGUAAGUGGAAUUACGAGUGUAGAGGUGAAAUUCGUAGAUAUUCGUAAGAACACCAGUGGCGAAGGCGACUUACUGGCUCGAUACUGACGCUAAGGCGCGAAAGCGUGGGGAGCAAACAG
rnacentral:rRNA from 1 species